GUCUACGGCCAUGCCACCCUGAACAAGCCCCAUCCUGUCUGAUCUUGGAAGCUAAGCAGGGUCGGGCCUGGUUAGUACUUGGAUGGGAGACCACCUAGGAAGACCAGGUGCUGUAAGUG
rnacentral:rRNA from 1 species